UCAGUACUUCCUCUGUCCAAAAAUACUUGUCAUUGAAAUGGAUAUAUCUAGAUGUAUUUUAGUUGUAGAUACAUCCAUUUUCAUCCAUUUUGAUGACAAGUAUUUCCGGACAGAGGGAGUACUAU
rnacentral:pre_miRNA from 1 species